rnacentral:tRNA from 1 species
GGGGAUUUAGCUUAGUGGUAGAGCGCUUGCCUAGCAAGAGCGAGGCCCUGGGUUCGGUCCCCAGCUCCG